rnacentral:rRNA from 1 species
UACGGGGGGGGCAAGCGUUGUUCGGAAUUACUGGGCGUAAAGGGUUUGUAGGUGGCCGGCUAAGUCAGACGUGAAAUCCCUCAGCUUAACUGGGGAACUGCGUCUGAAACUGAUCGGCUCGAGUGCAGGAGAGGAACGCGGAAUUCCAGGUGUAGCGGUGAAAUGCGUAGAUAUCGGGAGGAAUACCAGUGGCGAAGGCGGCCUUCUGGACGGAUACUGACGCUGAGGCGCGAAAGCCAGGGGAGCAAACGGG